GCAUGUCCCAGGUAAGGCAAGUGGGAUUGCUGGCUGCUGGAUGUCAGCCAUGGAACAAAGAUGUGUGUGCUGCCAAUGGAGACAGGUUUGCAUAUUGUGCUACUCUGGCUAUCUAUAUUUAUCAGUUGGAUCACCGUUAUAAUGAAUUCAAACUUUAUGCAAUUAUGUCUGAACAUAAAAAAACAAUUACAGCAAUCUCUUGGUGUCCACAUAAUCCUGAUCUGUUUGCAAGUGGCAGUACCGAUAAUUUAGUGAUCAUUUGGAAUGUUGCAGAACAAAAAGUCAUUGCUAAACUCGACAAUACAAAAGGAGUGCCUGCCUCUCUUAGCUGGUGCUGGAAUGCAGAUGAUGCUGUAGCAUUUGUUUCCCACAGAGGCCCACUAUUCAUUUGGACCAUAUCAGGACCAGAUAGUGGAGUGACUGUACACAAGGAAGCCCAUAGCUUCUUGUCUGAUAUCUGUAUUUUCAGAUGGCAUACACAAAAAAAGGGGAAAGUUGUGUUUGGUCAUAUUGAUGGAAGUCUAUCAGUUUUUCAGCCAGGUAAUAAAAAUCAGAAACAUGUUUUGAGACCUGAAUCUCUUGAAGGAACAGAUGAAGAGGAUCCAAUUACAGCCCUGGAAUGGGACCCACUCUCUACUGAUUAUCUUCUCGUGGCUAAUUUGCAUUAUGGAAUUCGCCUAGUAGAUUCUGAAUCACUUUAUUGCAUAACAACAUUUAAUUUUCCAAGUGUAGCAGCUUCUAUACAGUGCUUAGCCUGGGUUCCCAGUGCUCCUGGCAUGUUUAUAACUGGAGAUUCUCAAGUGGGUGUUUUACGCAUUUGGAAUGUUUCAAGAACAACACCUAUUGAUAAUUUUAAAUUAAAGAAAACGGGAUUUCACUGCUUGCAUGUACUUAAUUCUCCUCCAAGAAAAAAGUUUUCAAUCCAGUCUUCAAACAAAAAUCAUUAUACAUCCUCAACAAGUGAAGCAGUUCCACCCCCUAGUUUGACACAGAAUCAAGCAUUUUCUCUUCCUCCUGGUCAUGCAGUGUGCUGUUUCUUAGAUGGUGGAGUUGGUCUCUAUGAUAUGGGAGCCAAGAAGUGGGAUUUUCUUAGGGACUUGGGACAUGUGGAAACUAUCUUUGACUGCAAAUUUAAACCUGAUGAUCCGAAUCUUUUAGCAACAGCUUCAUUUGAUGGUACUAUAAAAGUUUGGGAUAUAAACACAUUAACAGCAAUGUAUACUUCCCCGGGUAAUGAAGGGGUUAUUUAUUCCCUUUCAUGGGCUCCAGGCGGCUUGAAUUGUAUUGCUGGGGCAACUUCCCAAAAUGGUGCUUUUAUCUGGGAUGUUCAAAAGGGCAAAAUGAUACAGCGAUUUAAUGAGCAUGGAAAAAAUGGAAUAUUCUGCAUUGCCUGGAGUCACAAAGAUUCCAAAAGAAUAGCAACCUGCAGUGGUGAUGGGUUCUGUAUUAUCCGAACAAUUGAUGGUAAAGUACUACACAAAUACAAACAUCCAGCUCCAGUGUUUGGUUGUGAUUGGAGCCAAAACAACAAAGACAUGAUUGCCACUGGCUGUGAAGACAAAAAUGUGCGUGUCUAUUAUGUAGCCACCAACUCAGAUCAACCAUUGAAAGUCUUUAGUGGACAUACAGCAAAAGUUUUUCAUGUUAAAUGGUCUCCCCUGAGAGAAGGAAUUCUUUGCAGUGGAUCUGAUGAUGGUUCUGUUCGAAUCUGGGAUUAUACUCAAGAUGUUUGCAUAAAUAUUCUUAGUGGACACACUGCACCGGUGAGGGGAUUAAUGUGGAAUACUGAGAUUCCAUAUCUACUAAUAUCUGGCAGCUGGGACUAUACUAUAAAAGUGUGGGACACUCGGGAAGGAACUUGUUUGGAUACUGUAUAUGACCAUGGUGCAGAUGUGUACGGUUUAACAUGCCAUCCAAGUCGCCCCUUCACUAUGGCUUCUUGCUCCCGUGAUUCUACAGUGAGACUCUGGUCAUUAACACCUUUAAUCACUCCUUUACAAAUAAAUAUUCUGGCAGACAGAUCUUGGGAAGAAAUUAUCGGGAAUACUGAUUGUGUCAUAGAACAAGGCACUCCUCCUCUGUUGUGUGGUAAAGUGUCAAGAGAUAUUAAACAGGAAAUAGAAAAACUGGCUGGUAAUCCUCGAGUGAAAAAAUUAAGAUGGUUUUCAGAAUGUUUAUCACCUCCAGGUGGCAGUGACAAUUUAUGGAACUUGGUGGCUGUGAUAAAAGGGCAAGAUGAUAGUUUACUUCCUCAGAGCUACUGCAAAGGAAUAAUGCAUUUGAAGCACCUAAUUAAAUUUAGAACAUCUGAAGCCCAAGAACUAACAACAGUCAAGAUGUCUAAAUUUGGUGGUGGUAUUGGUGUACCUACUAAAGAGGAAAGACUGAAGGAAGCUGCUGAAAUACACUUGAGAUUAGGACAAAUUCAGAGAUACUGUGAACUUAUGGUUGAACUUGGAGAGUGGGACAAAGCCCUGUCAAUUGCACCAGGGGUCUCUGUGAAAUACUGGAAGAAGUUAAUGCAGAGGAGAGCUGACCAAUUAAUCCAGGAAGAUAAGGAUGAUGUCAUUCCUUACUGCAUAGCCACUGGUGAUGUGAGAAAGCUAGUAAAUUUUUUUAUGUCAAGAGGUCAGCUUAAAGAAGCUCUGCUUGUUGCACAGGCUGCAUGCGAGGGGAAUAUGCAAAACUUGCAUGUUUCUACACCUAAAGGAGCUUCAUAUUCUGAUGAUAUCUACAAGGAAGACUUUGAUGAACUCCUCCACAAAGUCAGUAAAGAACUGGCAGAAUGGUAUUUUCAGGAUGGUCGAGCAGUACUUGCUGCAUGUUGCCAUCUAGCUGUAGAUAAUAUUGAGCUUGCUAUGGCAUACCUGAUUCGUGGAAAUGAACUGGAGUUGGCCGUCUGUGUGGGAAUGGUACUAGGAGAAACUGCAGCACCAGCAACUCACUAUGCCCUAGAAUUACUGGCAAGAAAAUGCAUGAUGAUUCCAAUAUGGAAUUUGGCAGCCGAUCUUCUCCUGAUGAUUCCUGAUAAUGAACUACAUUUAGUAAAACUCUGUGCUUUCUACCCAGGGUCUAUUGAAGAAAUAAAUGAUAUUCAUGAGAAGUGCAAACUCCCCACAGUAGAAGAAUGUAUGCAGUUAGCUGAGACAGCCCAUGCAGAUGGCAAUGUAUUUGAAUCUAUAAAGUAUUAUUUAUUAAGUCAAGAACCUGAAAAAGCCCUUCCUAUUGGUAUUGACUUUGUCAAAGAACACCUCAGUAGUUCAAAUUGGACAUUGGAUACCAUUUAUCCCAUUCUUGACCUGUUGAGUUAUAUUCGUACUGAAAACUUAGUCUUGCAUACAUGCACUGAAGCUCGAAAUGAGUUGCUUAUAUUAUGUGGUUAUAUUGGUGCAUUAUUGGCUAUCAGAAGACAGUACCAAAGCAUUGUUCCAGCACUUUAUGAGUACACAAGCCAGCUAUUAAAACGUCGAAAGGUAUCAGUUCCCUUAAAAAUUGAACAUCUUUCUGAGGAACUGGAUGCAUGGAGAGCUUGUACACAGCCCACCAAUCAGUGAAUCAGAGGAAUCGCCAUAUACACCCCCUUCUGAUUCACAAAGAAUGGUUUAUACAACUUUAUUAAAGAAACUAAAGGAAGAACCACUCAAAGGAAUUAUUGGACCAGAUUAUGUGACUGGAUCAAAUCUCCCAAGUCAUUGUGACAUUCACAUGUCUUGUCUUACGGGAUUAAAAAUCCAGGGCCCUGUAUUUUUCCUUGAAGAUGGGAAAUCUGCUAUUUCAUUGAAUGAUGCUUUGAUGUGGGCAAAGGUGAAUCCAUUCUCACCUUUAGGAACUGGACUACGACUCAAUCCAUUUUGAUAGAAGAUUUUUGUUCAUGCUUAAAUUAUUUUUUAAAAGAAGAACUUUUGUAGAUUAGUAUUACCUUGGUCUUGAUCAUCCAAGAGCCAAAGGUUGGGAGGAGGAGUGGUGGUUGGGAACAGUGGGAAACAGUAGUUACUUUGAUUCAUUAACUUCAAAAAAUAAAAUAUUUAUAUAAUUUAAAG